rnacentral:lncRNA from 1 species
CACAAUUUAGAAAAAAAUGUUUAUCUACAGCAAUACUGAUGAAUAUCAAAAACAUGAAUGAAAGAAGUCUCUGGGAAAGAGUGCAUACUUUGCAAUUCUGUUUUUAAGAAGAAAAAGGCAAGGCAGAGUUAAGGCCUGGUGAAAACAGUGUGUGGAAGUAAGGACUGAGGAGAGUAAGGAAACUCGGGUAAAAAUAUGUAACUUGACAAGGGUUAGGGUUCCACAGGUGUCUUAGUUCAGACUGCAAGCAAAAUACCAUAAACUGGAUGACUUAAACCAUGAAUAUUUAUUUCUCACAGUUCUGGAGGAUUGAAGUUCCAGAUUAGGGUGCCAGCAUGGUUGGGUUCUUGGUAGAGUACCUCUUCCCUCUCCUUUGUAUUCUCCGUAUAUCCUCUCUUUGUAUCCGUAUAUGGCUGAGAGAGUGCUAGUCCUUCUCCUUAUAUGGGUACUAAUCCCUUCAUUGGGCUCCACCCUUAGUACCUAAGUACCUCCCAAAGCCCCGCCUCCAUCACAGAAUGUGUCUGGGGAGUUCAAACAUUCAGUCCAUAGUAACAGGCAUAUGCAGUUCUUACAGCUCAUCAAAUAGAACUCUUAAGGUCUCUGCAUUCUACUUUAUGAAAAAUUUGCCUCAGAAACUAAAGCACUAUAAACAAAUACUGAAUUCUAGUUAAACAGGAGUGAAGUAUACAAUUAUUUGUAGUUUACUUAGGUAAAAAAGUGGAUUCAUGGUUUGGUAGAGGAAUGGAUAGGAAGAGAAACCAGUGCUUUGUGGAAAAAUGGAGGAUUCAAGGCUGAGGCAGGAUGAGUUUGGACUAUUAUUAUCCUAGAAGGCUACAAGAGUUCUGUCAGAAGGACUCAGGAGCUUAUCUGAAGAGCUUCCUGCUGGCUAAAGAAGGGACAGCUGCAAGUACUCCCACCGUGGCCAAUUCAGACUAUAAGCCGAUGUCAGUAAUGGGAAAUGGGGAAGAAAUGCACAUUAGCACACCAUUCUAUCAUAUUUCUAUCAUAAACACAAUAGCUACUUGCUCCCAAAGAGUGACUCGCUUCAAAUCUUCUUGCCAAUUCCACUGGUGUAUCUCCACGUUAAAAUCAAAACCAAAACCAAAAAGCCUUGUCAAGCGGAGAAAGACAACUAUCAUAUGA